rnacentral:ncRNA from 1 species
UUUUGUUCUAGGAUAUUAGCUUGGUAUUUUUAACUUUGUCUUAUACAAAUAAUUGUAGUAUCUCUUAAUUAUAUAAAAGUAAGGAUUAGAUUUAUGAGAACUUAAAUUUAGGUCAUAGGGUUAAAAAGGAUGAAAAAUCUUUGUUUGAUAGUAAUUGUUGUGCCAGCUCUAGCGGUUAAACAUCCAUCAAUCAUCAAGUGUUUCAGUUUACUUUUACGUAUUGAAUCUACUAAAUAUUAGGUAAAAUUAUUAUUUUUUAGAGGAAAUAGUAUGCUAAUUUUUAUUGUUUAAAGCUAAGAAGAAAAACCAGGAUUAGAUACCCUGUUAUUCUUAGAACAGAAAAGUAAGUGGAUUAAAAAAAUAAAAACAAAAAACAUGGCGGUUUUCUAUCAUAUUAGAGGGACAUGUGUUGAAAACGAAUUUGCACGAAAAAUUAUUCUUUCUCUUGAAACUAAAUAUAAGUAAUUUUCAUUUUACAUACCGCUGUCUGAAAAAUUCUUUAAGAAAAGAUAUUUUGAAUCAUUUUCAUGAAAUAAGGCAAGUAAAGGUGUAGACAAUGGGGAAGAAAACAUGUGUUUCAGUUUUAAAAAUGGAGAGAGUGAUUGAAAUUUCUCUUUAAAAAGAAUUUAACAGUAAAGUUAGUUUAUCAAAUUAACUUGAAUUGGAAAUGGAAAGUGUACAAAUUGCCCGUCACUCCGUAAGUGGAGAAGUCGUAACAAAGUUGGACUACUGGAAAGUGGU